GGCAAUAAGCUUAGCAAGCUGAUUAGCUUUGUCAUGUUUGGCGCUAAAAUCCUCCAACGCUUGCUGUUGCACCAGACAGUAUGCAUCUGAAUGCUCCAGGGACUUCCGCAGUCCUUCCGCUUCUUGUCGCAGCAUAGCUGAUCGAUGUCUUUCAGCUUGUAGUUGAGACUCAAGAAACCGAACUGAUUCAGACAGUGAGUUUGAAUAGCUUGUGCAAGAGGUAGUGGCCAGUAACUCCAACACUAAACCAAGACAGGAUGUGUCACUAUCCUGAACCUUAUCUGCAUUACUUCCUUUACCGUUGCUUAAUAAGGCACUCUUCCCCAAUAUUCUGUCAGCAUUCUAAAAGAAGAAACAAGCAGACACAUAACAAGUUUAGCAUGUACUAGUAUAUGAAACUCAUUUCGGUGAACCAGUUCAUUAGUAAGGUGGACAGGAUUAAACUACCAAGUCUUCUAUUGCCAAGUACUAGUACAUAAUAAAAGCAUCAAACAAACAUAUAUCUAUGUCCUAUGGUAGCAAUGGAAUCUUAAAUUAGAACAGUUGUUCU
rnacentral:rRNA from 1 species